CCCUUAGAUGUUCUGGGCCACACGCGCGUUACACUGAUGAAGCCAGCGAGUAUAUCGCCUUCACCGGAAGGUGCGGGUAAUCUUGUGAAACUUCAUCGUGCUGGGGAUAGACCAUUGCAAUUAUUGGCCUUGAACGAGGAAUUCCUAGUAAGCAUGAGUCAUCAACUCGUGCUGAUUACGUCCCUGCCCUUUGUACACACCGCCCGUCGCUACUACCGAUUGAAUGGUUUAGUGAGAUCUCGGGAUUGGAGACGUUGCGCCGCAAGGCACAUCGUCCUCGAGAACUUGAUCAAACUUGAUCAUUUAGAGGAAGUAAAAGUCGUAACA
rnacentral:rRNA from 1 species